rnacentral:rRNA from 1 species
UCGGGAAUAUUGCGCAAUGGAGGAAACUCUGACGCAGUGACGCCGCGUGCAGGAAGAAGGUUUUAGGAUUGUAAACUGCUUUAGACAGGGAAGAAAAAAAUGACAGUACCUGUAGAAUAAGCUCCGGCUAACUACGUGCCAGCAGCCGCGGUAAUACGUAGGGAGCGAGCGUUAUCCGGAAUUAUUGGGUGUAAAGGGUGCGUAGACGGGAAUGUAAGUUAGUUGUGAAAUCCCUCGGCUUAACUGAGGAACUGCAACUAAAACUACAUUUCUUGAGUGCAGGAGAGGAAAGUGGAAUUCCUAGUGUAGCGGUGAAAUGCUUAGAUAUCACGAAGAACUCCAAUUGCGAAGGCAGCUUGCUGGACUGUAACUGACGCUGAUGCUCGAAAGUGUGGGUAUCAAACA